UUGGAGGGCAAGUCUGGUGCCAGCAGCCGCGGUAAUUCCAGCUCCAAUAGCGUAUAUUAAAGUUGUUGCAGUUAAAAAGCUCGUAGUUGAAUUUCGGGGUCAGUAGGUUGGUCAUGCCACAGGUAUGUACUGAUCUUACUGAUUCCUCCUUCCUGAUGAACCGUAAUGCCAUUAAUUUGGUGUUGCGGGGAAACUGGACUGUUACUUUGAAAAAAUUAGAGUGUUUAAAGCAGGCUAACGCUUGAAUACAUUAGCAUGGAAUAAUGAAAUAGGACGUUCGAUCCUAUUUUGUUGGUUUCUAGGAUUGACGUAAUGAUUAAUAGGGAUAGUUGGGGGCAUUAGUAUUCAAUUGUCAGAGGUGAAAUUCUUGGAUUUAUUGAAGACUAACUACUGCGAAAGCAUUUGCCAAGGAUGUUUUCAUUAAUCAAGAACGAAAGUUAGGGGAUCGAAGACGAUCAGAUACCGUCGUAGUCUUAACCGUAAACUAUGCCGACUAGGGAUCGGAUGAUGUUAAUUUUUUAAUGACUCAUUCGGCGCCUUACGGGAAAC
rnacentral:rRNA from 1 species